rnacentral:rRNA from 1 species
UACGUAGGGUGCAAGCGUUGUCCGGAAUUAUUGGGCGUAAAGAGCUCGUAGGCGGUUCGUCGCGUCGGCUGUGAAAACCUGAGGCUCAACCUCAGGCCUGCAGUCGAUACGGGCGGACUUGAGUACUGCAGGGGAGACUGGAAUUCCUGGUGUAGCGGUGAAAUGCGCAGAUAUCAGGAGGAACACCGGUGGCGAAGGCGGGUCUCGUGGGCAACAACUGACGCUGAGGAGCGAAAGCGUGGGGAGCGAACAGG